rnacentral:rRNA from 1 species
GGGCCAGGGCCGGAAAGCCUAACACAUGCAGUCGAGCGGCAGCGACAACAUUGAACCUUCGGGGGAUUUGUUGGGCGGCGAGCGGCGGACGGGUGAGUAAUGCCUGGGAAAUUGCCCUGAUGUGGGGGAUAACCAUUGGAAACGAUGGCUAAUACCGCAUGAUAGCUUCGGCUCAAAGAGGGGGACCUUCGGGCCUCUCGCGUCAGGAUAUGCCCAGGUGGGAUUAGCUAGUUGGUGAGGUAAGGGCUCACCAAGGCGACGAUCCCUAGCUGGUCUGAGAGGAUGAUCAGCCACACUGGAACUGAGACACGGUCCAGACUCCUACGGGAGGCAGCAGUGGGGAAUAUUGCACAAUGGGCGCAAGCCUGAUGCAGCCAUGCCGCGUGUAUGAAGAAGGCCUUCGGGUUGUAAAGUACUUUCAGCAGUGAGGAAGGGGGUAUCGUUAAUAGCGGUAUUCUUUGACGUUAGCUGCAGAAGAAGCACCGGCUAACUCUGUGCCAGCAGCCGCAA